rnacentral:lncRNA from 1 species
CUGAUGGUUUGAACCUUGGUAAAGAAUUUAAAUAUGGCUGAAACCUUGCUAAAGAAUUUAAGUAUGACUGAAACCUUGAUCUCUUUAUCCAGAAGCCGAGGUCUCUUGUCAAUCAUUAUGAAGUACUUUCAGCCUUUGACAUCCACUUAACCUGUAGAUGUAUUACCAGUAUGAAGUAGGACCUGUAAUCAGUGUAAAAUCAUUAUGAACUUAGUGCUGGCAGAGGCAUUCUUAGAUUAAUGUCGGGACCUGUAAUCAGUGUAAAAUCAUUCUCGGUAAAUAUAAGCAGCUCUUCAUGUAGCUUUCUAUAAAAUUGCUAGAGUUGUUUUAGGCAACAAGGUGGGUACCACGUCGUAAUUUAUUCAAUGAACUAAUUAAUUUUGACCUUCUAUAUAUAGCUUAUAUGGAAGUAGAAGUGAUUUUGUUGUGAAAGAGUAAUUUUUAUUUGCCUUGCCGUUUUUCUAUUUUCUUUGUUGGUAAUUCAUGU